GGGGAUUAGUGGCGAACGGGUGAGUAACACGUGAGUAACCUGCCCUUGACUUCGGGAUAAGCCUGGGAAACUGGGUCUAAUACUGGAUACGACCUCUCAUCGCAUGGUGUGGGGGUGGAAAGUUUUUGCGGUUUUGGAUGGACUCGCGGCCUAUCAGCUUGUUGGUGAGGUAAUGGCUCACCAAGGCGACGACGGGUAGCCGGCCUGAGAGGGUGACCGGCCACACUGGGACUGAGACACGGCCCAG
rnacentral:rRNA from 1 species